rnacentral:rRNA from 1 species
UACGUAGGGUGCAAGCGUUGUCCGGAAUUUAUUGGGCGUAAAGAGCUCGUAGGCGGUUUGUCGCGUCUGCUGUGAAAACGCGAGGCUCAACCUCGCGCCUGCAGUGGGUACGGGCAGACUAGAGUGCGGUAGGGGAGAUUGGAAUUCCUGGUGUAGCGGUGGAAUGCGCAGGAUAUCAGGAGGAACACCGAUGGCGAAGGCAGAUCUCUGGGCCGUAACUGACGCUGAGGAGCGAAAGCGUGGGGAGCAAACAGG